rnacentral:rRNA from 1 species
GAUGAACGCUGGCGGCGUGCCUAAUACAUGCAAGUCGAGCGAACGGACGAGAAGCUUGCUUCUCUGAUGUUAGCGGCGGACGGGUGAGUAACACGUGGAUAACCUACCUAUAAGACUGGGAUAACUUCGGGAAACCGGAGCUAAUACCGGAUAAUAUUUUGAACCGCAUGGUUCAAAAGUGAAAGACGGUCUUGCUGUCACUUAUAGAUGGAUCCGCGCUGCAUUAGCUAGUUGGUAAGGUAACGGCUUACCAAGGCAACGAUGCAUAGCCGACCUGAGAGGGUGAUCGGCCACACUGGAACUGAGACACGGUCCAGACUCCUACGGGAGGCAGCAGUAGGGAACCUUCCGCAAUGGGCGAAAGCCUGACGGAGCAACGCCGCGUGAGUGAUGAAGGUCUUCGGAUCGUAAAACUCUGUUAUUAGGGAAGAACAUAUGUGUAAGUAACUGUGCACAUCUUGACGGUACCUAAUCAGAAAGCCACGGCUAACUACGUGCCAGCAGCCGCGGUAAUACGUAGGUGGCAAGCGUUAUCCGGAAUUAUUGGGCGUAAAGCGCGCGUAGGCGGUUUUUUAAGUCUGAUGUGAAAGCCCACGGCUCAACCGUGGAGGGUCAUUGGAAACUGGAAAACUUGAGUGCAGAAGAGGAAAGUGGAAUUCCAUGUGUAGCGGUGAAAUGCGCAGAGAUAUGGAGGAACACCAGUGGCGAAGGCGACUUUCUGGUCUGUAACUGACGCUGAUGUGCGAAAGCGUGGGGAUCAAACAGGAUUAGAUACCCUGGUAGUCCACGCCGUAAACGAUGAGUGCUAAGUGUUAGGGGGUUUCCGCCCCUUAGUGCUGCAGCUAACGCAUUAAGCACUCCGCCUGGGGAGUACGACCGCAAGGUUGAAACUCAAAGGAAUUGACGGGGACCCGCACAAGCGGUGGAGCAUGUGGUUUAAUUCGAAGCAACGCGAAGAACCUUACCAAAUCUUGACAUCCUUUGACAACUCUAGAGAUAGAGCUUUCCCCUUCGGGGGACAAAGUGACAGGUGGUGCAUGGUUGUCGUCAGCUCGUGUCGUGAGAUGUUGGGUUAAGUCCCGCAACGAGCGCAACCCUUAAGCUUAGUUGCCAUCAUUAAGUUGGGCACUCUAAGUUGACUGCCGGUGACAAACCGGAGGAAGGUGGGGAUGACGUCAAAUCAUCAUGCCCCUUAUGAUUUGGGCUACACACGUGCUACAAUGGACAAUACAAAGGGCAGCGAAACCGCGAGGUCAAGCAAAUCCCAUAAAGUUGUUCUCAGUUCGGAUUGUAGUCUGCAACUCGACUACAUGAAGCUGGAAUCGCUAGUAAUCGUAGAUCAGCAUGCUACGGUGAAUACGUUCCCGGGUCU